GGCUAUAUCUCAGUGGUAGAGUACUUGCUUAGUAUGCAUGACGCCCUGAGUUCAAUUCCCAGUACUGCCA
rnacentral:tRNA from 1 species